ensembl:snRNA U6 U6 spliceosomal RNA
UCAAGUGCUCACUUCAAUCUACUAAAGUUGAAACAAUUCAAAGAUUGGCAUGGCCCCUACAUAAGGAUAACAUGCAUAUUUGUUAAAUGUUCUUUUUCUUU